GCUCCUCCGCACCCUUCUACCACCCACCCAUACCUCGCCGCUCCAACCCGUGUGGGACAUUCUCACCCACCCUCGCUCUCCUGCUCCCUCCGCCCCCCUCACCACGCCUUCACCUCCAUUUCUCACUCCCUCUCCCUCCCUGCUACAACCAACAUCUCACCUCAAAAUCACUCCAUUGCUCCCCGCCUCCCACAAACGCCAUACCCGCACCAUCGUACAACACUCGCUGGAAGCAGAAGCAGAACAAGCAGAAGAAUAAAGGAACAACCCACCAAACAAACACGCAAAUCAAUCAAUCGUUAAAUAAAGAAUGCUUUUUUCAAACCUUGCACUUGUUCACUCUUACAAAUCCACUUUUGGAACAAAGCAAAAAGGCUCUCAAUUCCAAAUGCCAUCCCAUCCAACACAUCCAUGCCCCUAGACUCAAACAUUUUCAACCCCCCUACCUAUUUCAACGUUACAUCAUGUCAAUUCUCAUGCUAUUCCACAGUUCUUGCACUGCGGCCUUCACAUCUGCACUCCACAACCUACCCUUGCACUUACAUUUUUUUUUAAUUUUUUUUAAUUUAUUAUAUAUAUAUAUUAUUUUAUUUAUCAUUAUUAUAAUCCAUGUCUGAAAAUUAAAAAAAAACAUAUACCAAUAGGCAAAUCAACAAAAUAAGCAAUAUCUCCCAUGAUUGUUUUUUUUUUUUUUUUUUUUUUUUUUUUUUGUUUCGUUUAGGGUAUAGGGCUGUUUUCCCUAUUAAUUGUAUGUACGUAUGUAUGUAUACACACUGUUAUGACACUCACUCACAUGAAUACACCCUAGGUAACAAAAUGCCACGUUUUCCCAUGUUUUGGGAUAUUUUGUUUGACCAUGAGUAGUAGCACCGGUAGAGCCCCCGUACCCUUUACAGUCUUGAAACGAAGAAAAUCACGGUAUUCAGCAUGGUUGAUUUGGUGUUGUGUGGUUGCAAAAUGCAAGAGAGCCUGGGGACGAUGGUGAUUCGGAGGGCGGGGGCUUUGAUUUGGUGGUGUGGCGAGUGUGAUGAUAUGUCGAAGUGGCAGUGUGAAUGGGUAAAUGCCCCAUAGUGUGUGCAGGCGGGAGGGCGGAGGUGGGGGUAGAAGAGGGGCGGGGCGGGAGGGGAGGGGCAUACCUUUCUCGGCCUUUUGGCUAAGAUCAAGUGUAGUAUCUGUUCUUAUCAGUUUAAUAUCUGAUACGAGGCUCAUCGAGCCUCACGAUAUUAAUCUAAUUUAUCUCGGGUGCGGGCCCAUCCGGCAGCUUGCUGCCCGGGCCAGCGCGCGUCGCCUUGGUCUUGCACUACCUCCUCGGCCGGCGCAGCCCAUUUCCCUCCGUUUCCCGGAGGGCCCCCCCCCUACAAUGCAAAGAGCGAAACUGGAAAGAGUGUGCGCGUGAGGGGACCCCCAACGUCGGCAGCGGGGCUGAGUGGAGGUGGCAACCAGUCGUGUCACGCUCCGCUGGUGCUGGUGCUGCUUGAUGCUUGAUCUGGAGGUGGAGGUGGAGGUGGAGUUGGAGUUGGAGUUGGACGCCACCUCAAAAGAAAACACAGACGGAGAAGAAGAAAAAGCAGCAGCAGAAGACGAAGAAAAACAAGAGGAAUGAAUAAUAAACACAAAAUGUCGAGAAAAAUGAAUAUAACCAAACUUGGUUACAUGUUUUUCAUGUUUUUUAUUUUUAUUUUUAUUUUUUCUUUCUGUGUUUGAUUUUAUUUGUUUUUGUUUUGUUUUGUUGUUCUUGUUGGGUUAUUGUUGUAUAAUUGUCUGAAAAAACUGUGGUCUUGAGUAUUGGUCGAAUUCUGUUCUGUGGUUUGUGGCGUAUGUUUGCUUGUUUAUUUAUUUAAAUUUAUUUUUCAGCAUUGCAGUUUCCGUUUCUUAUUUAUGAAAACUCGAUUUUGUUGUUUUGUUUAUUGUUGAUGUUGUUAUUAUUGUGUUUUUUGAAAUACACGUUUUCGUUCUUUAUCACAAAUGUUGCGCUGCUUAUUUCGAUGUACCAGUGUAUGCUUGUUAUCGAUUGAUUGACUGAUUGUUUUAUUGUGUUUUUGUUUUUGUUUUUGUUUUGUUUUGUUUGUUUGUUUUUAUUAUUUUAAUUUGUCUCUUUCUCUCAUAGCCUGCUGUCGUCGUUAUGGUCUUGAUGACGAUAACGAUGAUUAAUAGUUAUCUGUUUGUUUGAAAGAACAUAGCUUCAAAAUUCAAGAUAUCCCCUUCUCUCUUCACUCGCCUGUUUCUUAGAAUUGUGUUCAUCCAUUGAUUUGAGUGGAUUUGAGUGGUCAAUCUUAGGGGAGAUGGGGUGGUUUUGUGCAUCAAUGUUUUGAGGCAGGAACACACAUGGUUGACUCCAACAGCAACACACAGUGGUGGUGGGAAGUUGAGAGGGAUGCAGGAGGAUGCAGAUUGCACGUUGGGUUAGUGGGCGGAGAAGCGGCAGGGCAUGCGUCGGUCCCAUACGGUUGGGUGGAAGAAGGAGCAGGGCAUGCGUAGAAGAGCGUGGGUGAGAAGGCGGUGGAGGCAUGGGGCCGGGCGCUCAGCACAGAGCGAACUAUUCUUUCGCCUUUUACUAAAGAAUACCGUGCGCUGGGCGCAACGACCGGCAUAGCCAGAGUUUUUGGACUGCCCCGUUUGCGGGGCCCACCAAUUGGAAGCGCGAAACCGGAUUGUAUGGAGAACAGGGACAGGGCCUCCGUAUGACUUGUCUCCGUGGGUGGGUUGGAGAAGUGUGCCUCCUGCCACACCCGAGAGUGGGAGAGAAGCAGCGACUCGCGGUCCGCAGAGGGGCUGGCGCCGGGCCACACAUCAUCCGUCAGCACAGCAUGCCGCGCGAGAGAAAAGGGGCGCGCGCGUGUGCGUGUGUUUCAUCGAGUGCGUGCGUUUGCCGGGAGUCGAACCCGGGUCCAUUGCUUGGAAGGCAAUUAUCCUAACCGUUGGACUACAAACGCCCGGCGGCCGCGAACCGAGACCACGCACCACGGGCCCACGGCCGCGAACCGAGACCACGCACCACGGGCCCACGGCCGCUUCCACUCGCACGGCUGCGCGCUCACGGCGUCGUCUACCACCUGGCUCAUCUCGACGGGCCCUCCCGUUGGCGGCAUCUCGUGCACCGACUCAACACCGCAAAAAGUCCACGCCUCAGCGUCAAGAGAGAGGUGCACACUUACUUACUCGCGCUGAGUUUGCGCAUCCCUCCCCGUUCGGGCACCUCGCCGAACUCCGUCGGUCCUGCCGGCACCGAGUUGUGUCCCACCUGCACUCCGAGGCUCCGGGCAGUGCGCCAGCCACGGUCCCCUCCCCGACGCAACCACAAAUCCGAGGCGAGAGCGACACGACACAAGGCUGGCACACUUCGAGCCAUCCUGUUUGGGGUUUUGUGCGUUGUGAGGUCUCGGCCUACGCCAGACCUUCCAGAAAUUCUGGGGCGCCCUUGCGGGCACCGCAGGGGGGUUGGAAAUAGUUUUCAACCAGCAAUUGACGCGUCUCGGGUUUGCCUCACUAACUGCGUCAUUGCCCCAAGCGCAAAGAUACCGUCCUCCUUCCCGCCUCCCCCCGAAUGUACCUCCCUCGGGGGCUCGUCUCCUCCCAUCGCUAUGGGGCAAUCUGCCCCGACCCACCACCAAAUCGUCACCAGGCGCCGCUGCCGGGGGCGACACACCGUGCCGGCCAUCGCGUGCAUCCCUUUCGCCGCACCACCAGGCUGUGCGCUGGGCCGUGCCUCAGUCAGAGAUUGCGUUCUCAUCGGCACAGUCAGAGACCGGGGUCAAACGUGCACCUCGCAAAAAUCCAACGCCCAUCGCCCCCCUCCUCCCUCGCGCAGGGAGGAGGUAGUGGCCCGAUCCGACUCGGGUGUGUGAUCGCCGUUCUUCCCCCCCGUGCGGGAGCAACGCUCACUGCCACAGCAGCUGCCCCGAGUGUUCACUGGACCAUCGAUCGGGAGGGCGGCGCAAGACUUUUGUCCAGGCGCAGGUGCGCGUGGUGCGAAUGUAUGCAGCAGCCGGCAGGUAAUGCCGAUGUAUGCAGCAGACCUCAGAUAAUGCGGGGGGUUUCUGGGAACUCACGACCGACACACUACUUCCAAAUCAUGAACGCACCCGUACCCAGUUUCCUCCGGUUUCGGCUUCCACUUUAGGCGGGGGCCGCGCGAACGCGAGCCCCCACUGCCACAAAUUACGACGUGUAUGCCCUCCGUAGAGAGAUACUAGAGCCGCCCGCCCCGUCAGUGCAAUGGGCCGGGCUCCUCUAGGCCAUCCACCUUCCUGAUCAUGGAUCGACCCCGCCCAGGUAAGUGCCCACUCCAGCGCUCCUCCGCACCCUUCUACCACCCACCCAUACCUCGCCGCUCCAACCCGUGUGGGACAUUCUCACCCACCCUCGCUCUCCUGCUCCCUCCGCCCCCCUCACCACGCCUUCACCUCCAUUUCUCACUCCCUCUCCCUCCCUGCUACAACCAACAUCUCACCUCAAAAUCACUCCAUUGCUCCCCGCCUCCCACAAACGCCAUACCCGCACCAUCGUACAACACUCGCUGGAAGCAGAAGCAGAACAAGCAGAAGAAUAAAGGAACAACCCACCAAACAAACACGCAAAUCAAUCAAUCGUUAAAUAAAGAAUGCUUUUUUCAAACCUUGCACUUGUUCACUCUUACAAAUCCACUUUUGGAACAAAGCAAAAAGGCUCUCAAUUCCAAAUGCCAUCCCAUCCAACACAUCCAUGCCCCUAGACUCAAACAUUUUCAACCCCCCUACCUAUUUCAACGUUACAUCAUGUCAAUUCUCAUGCUAUUCCACAGUUCUUGCACUGCGGCCUUCACAUCUGCACUCCACAACCUACCCUUGCACUUACAUUUUUUUUUAAUUUUUUUUAAUUUAUUAUAUAUAUAUAUUAUUUUAUUUAUCAUUAUUAUAAUCCAUGUCUGAAAAUUAAAAAAAAACAUAUACCAAUAGGCAAAUCAACAAAAUAAGCAAUAUCUCCCAUGAUUGUUUUUUUUUUUUUUUUUUUUUUUUUUUUGUUUCGUUUAGGGUAUAGGGCUGUUUUCCCUAUUAAUUGUAUGUACGUAUGUAUGUAUACACACUGUUAUGACACUCACUCACAUGAAUACACCCUAGGUAACAAAAUGCCACGUUUUCCCAUGUUUUGGGAUAUUUUGUUUGACCAUGAGUAGUAGCACCGGUAGAGCCCCCGUACCCUUUACAGUCUUGAAACGAAGAAAAUCACGGUAUUCAGCAUGGUUGAUUUGGUGUUGUGUGGUUGCAAAAUGCAAGAGAGCCUGGGGACGAUGGUGAUUCGGAGGGCGGGGGCUUUGAUUUGGUGGUGUGGCGAGUGUGAUGAUAUGUCGAAGUGGCAGUGUGAAUGGGUAAAUGCCCCAUAGUGUGUGCAGGCGGGAGGGCGGAGGUGGGGGUAGAAGAGGGGCGGGGCGGGAGGGGAGGGGCAUACCUUUCUCGGCCUUUUGGCUAAGAUCAAGUGUAGUAUCUGUUCUUAUCAGUUUAAUAUCUGAUACGAGGCUCAUCGAGCCUCACGAUAUUAAUCUAAUUUAUCUCGGGUGCGGGCCCAUCCGGCAGCUUGCUGCCCGGGCCAGCGCGCGUCGCCUUGGUCUUGCACUACCUCCUCGGCCGGCGCAGCCCAUUUCCCUCCGUUUCCCGGAGGGCCCCCCCCCUACAAUGCAAAGAGCGAAACUGGAAAGAGUGUGCGCGUGAGGGGACCCCCAACGUCGGCAGCGGGGCUGAGUGGAGGUGGCAACCAGUCGUGUCACGCUCCGCUGGUGCUGGUGCUGCUUGAUGCUUGAUCUGGAGGUGGAGGUGGAGGUGGAGUUGGAGUUGGAGUUGGACGCCACCUCAAAAGAAAACACAGACGGAGAAGAAGAAAAAGCAGCAGCAGAAGACGAAGAAAAACAAGAGGAAUGAAUAAUAAACACAAAAUGUCGAGAAAAAUGAAUAUAACCAAACUUGGUUACAUGUUUUUCAUGUUUUUUAUUUUUAUUUUUAUUUUUUCUUUCUGUGUUUGAUUUUAUUUGUUUUUGUUUUGUUUUGUUGUUCUUGUUGGGUUAUUGUUGUAUAAUUGUCUGAAAAAACUGUGGUCUUGAGUAUUGGUCGAAUUCUGUUCUGUGGUUUGUGGCGUAUGUUUGCUUGUUUAUUUAUUUAAAUUUAUUUUUCAGCAUUGCAGUUUCCGUUUCUUAUUUAUGAAAACUCGAUUUUGUUGUUUUGUUUAUUGUUGAUGUUGUUAUUAUUGUGUUUUUUGAAAUACACGUUUUCGUUCUUUAUCACAAAUGUUGCGCUGCUUAUUUCGAUGUACCAGUGUAUGCUUGUUAUCGAUUGAUUGACUGAUUGUUUUAUUGUGUUUUUGUUUUUGUUUUUGUUUUGUUUUGUUUGUUUGUUUUUAUUAUUUUAAUUUGUCUCUUUCUCUCAUAGCCUGCUGUCGUCGUUAUGGUCUUGAUGACGAUAACGAUGAUUAAUAGUUAUCUGUUUGUUUGAAAGAACAUAGCUUCAAAAUUCAAGAUAUCCCCUUCUCUCUUCACUCGCCUGUUUCUUAGAAUUGUGUUCAUCCAUUGAUUUGAGUGGAUUUGAGUGGUCAAUCUUAGGGGAGAUGGGGUGGUUUUGUGCAUCAAUGUUUUGAGGCAGGAACACACAUGGUUGACUCCAACAGCAACACACAGUGGUGGUGGGAAGUUGAGAGGGAUGCAGGAGGAUGCAGAUUGCACGUUGGGUUAGUGGGCGGAGAAGCGGCAGGGCAUGCGUCGGUCCCAUACGGUUGGGUGGAAGAAGGAGCAGGGCAUGCGUAGAAGAGCGUGGGUGAGAAGGCGGUGGAGGCAUGGGGCCGGGCGCUCAGCACAGAGCGAACUAUUCUUUCGCCUUUUACUAAAGAAUACCGUGCGCUGGGCGCAACGACCGGCAUAGCCAGAGUUUUUGGACUGCCCCGUUUGCGGGGCCCACCAAUUGGAAGCGCGAAACCGGAUUGUAUGGAGAACAGGGACAGGGCCUCCGUAUGACUUGUCUCCGUGGGUGGGUUGGAGAAGUGUGCCUCCUGCCACACCCGAGAGUGGGAGAGAAGCAGCGACGUCAGCACAGCAUGCCGCGCGAGAGAAAAGGGGCGCGCGCGUGUGCGUGUGUUUCAUCGAGUGCGUGCGUUUGCCGGGAGUCGAACCCGGGUCCAUUGCUUGGAAGGCAAUUAUCCUAACCGUUGGACUACAAACGCCCGGCGGCCGCGAACCGAGACCACGCACCACGGGCCCACGGCCGCGAACCGAGACCACGCACCACGGGCCCACGGCCGCUUCCACUCGCACGGCUGCGCGCUCACGGCGUCGUCUACCACCUGGCUCAUCUCGACGGGCCCUCCCGUUGGCUCAUCUCGACGGGCCCUCCCGUUGGCGGCAUCUCGUGCACCGACUCAACACCGCAAAAAGUCCACGCCUCAGCGUCAAGAGUUUGCGCAUCCCUCCCCGUUCGGGCACCUCGCCGAACUCCGUCGGUCCUGCCGGCACCGAGUUGUGUCCCACCUGCACUCCGAGGCUCCGGGCAGUGCGCCAGCCACGGUCCCCUCCCCGACGCAACCACAAAUCCGAGGCGAGAGCGACACGACACAAGGCUGGCACACUUCGAGCCAUCCUGUUUGGGGUUUUGUGCGUUGUGAGGUCUCGGCCUACGCCAGACCUUCCAGAAAUUCUGGGGCGCCCUUGCGGGCACCGCAGGGGGGUUGGAAAUAGUUUUCAACCAGCAAUUGACGCGUCUCGGGUUUGCCUCACUAACUGCGUCAUUGCCCCAAGCGCAAAGAUACCGUCCUCCUUCCCGCCUCCCCCCGAAUGUACCUCCCUCGGGGGCUCGUCUCCUCCCAUCGCUAUGGGGCAAUCUGCCCCGACCCACCACCAAAUCGUCACCAGGCGCCGCUGCCGGGGGCGACACACCGUGCCGGCCAUCGCGUGCAUCCCUUUCGCCGCACCACCAGGCUGUGCGCUGGGCCGUGCCUCAGUCAGAGAUUGCGUUCUCAUCGGCACAGUCAGAGACCGGGGUCAAACGUGCACCUCGCAAAAAUCCAACGCCCAUCGCCCCCCUCCUCCCUCGCGCAGGGAGGAGGUAGUGGCCCGAUCCGACUCGGGUGUGUGAUCGCCGUUCUUCCCCCCCGUGCGGGAGCAACGCUCACUGCCACAGCAGCUGCCCCGAGUGUUCACUGGACCAUCGAUCGGGAGGGCGGCGCAAGACUUUUGUCCAGGCGCAGGUGCGCGUGGUGCGAAUGUAUGCAGCAGCCGGCAGGUAAUGCCGAUGUAUGCAGCAGACCUCAGAUAAUGCGGGGGGUUUCUGGGAACUCACGACCGACACACUACUUCCAAAUCAUGAACGCACCCGUACCCAGUUUCCUCCGGUUUCGGCUUCCACUUUAGGCGGGGGCCGCGCGAACGCGAGCCCCCACUGCCACAAAUUACGACGUGUAUGCCCUCCGUAGAGAGAUACUAGAGCCGCCCGCCCCGUCAGUGCAAUGGGCCGGGCUCCUCUAGGCCAUCCACCUUCCUGAUCAUGGAUCGACCCCGCCCAGGUAAGUGCCCACUCCAGCGCUCCUCCGCACCCUUCUACCACCCACCCAUACCUCGCCGCUCCAACCCGUGUGGGACAUUCUCACCCACCCUCGCUCUCCUGCUCCCUCCGCCCCCCUCACCACGCCUUCACCUCCAUUUCUCACUCCCUCUCCCUCCCUGCUACAACCAACAUCUCACCUCAAAAUCACUCCAUUGCUCCCCGCCUCCCACAAACGCCAUACCCGCACCAUCGUACAACACUCGCUGGAAGCAGAAGCAGAACAAGCAGAAGAAUAAAGGAACAACCCACCAAACAAACACGCAAAUCAAUCAAUCGUUAAAUAAAGAAUGCUUUUUUCAAACCUUGCACUUGUUCACUCUUACAAAUCCACUUUUGGAACAAAGCAAAAAGGCUCUCAAUUCCAAAUGCCAUCCCAUCCAACACAUCCAUGCCCCUAGACUCAAACAUUUUCAACCCCCCUACCUAUUUCAACGUUACAUCAUGUCAAUUCUCAUGCUAUUCCACAGUUCUUGCACUGCGGCCUUCACAUCUGCACUCCACAACCUACCCUUGCACUUACAUUUUUUUUUAAUUUUUUUUAAUUUAUUAUAUAUAUAUAUUAUUUUAUUUAUCAUUAUUAUAAUCCAUGUCUGAAAAUUAAAAAAAAACAUAUACCAAUAGGCAAAUCAACAAAAUAAGCAAU
rnacentral:lncRNA from 1 species